UACGUAGGGGGCGAGCGUUGUCCGGAUUUAUUGGGCGUAAAGAGCUCGUAGGCGGUUUGGCAAGUCGGGUGUGAAAACUCCGGCUCAACUCGGAGACGCCACUCGAUACUGCUAUGACUCGAGUCCGGUAGGGGAGUGCGGAAUUCCUGGUGUAGCGGUGAAAUGCGCAGAUAUCAGGAGGAACACCGGUGGCGAAGGCGGCACUCUGGGCCGGUACUGACGCUGAGGAGCGAAAGCGUGGGGAGCAAACGGG
rnacentral:rRNA from 1 species